GGGAUCGCGUUGUUUGAUUGC
rnacentral:siRNA from 1 species